CGCGCACCUGCCCCGCCUUGGGGGGAGACUCGGAGGACCGGAGAUGGGCCCAGGCUAGGCAAAAGGGGCGGAGCCGCGAAAACUACGCAGGCGCAAUUUCCCCUUAGCCCCAUCUCCCGGGGUCAGGUUACUCCGGCGCAGUCUCACACACGAGGUCUGGUCGCUGGCCUCCUUCGUCAAACCACGCAAGCGCGGUCUGGCGCACCUGCCCUGUCAGGAUAGCGUCCGAAGACUACGCAGGCGCAGUCGCCGCGGCGGUUGGUUGGAAUUGCCACGCGUUUGGGAGCGCGCGUCCUCCGUGGUUUCUUCUGAGGGCUUGGCCGUUAGGGUGGUCCUUCACUCUUCCAACGGCUGGCCGCGGGGCUUCCGGGCUUGUGGUCGAGGCGGGCGUCCUCAGAGGGGCGUGCGCGCAACUUCUUUCAGUAGCCCAUGGGUGGAGACCAGACGCAGCAGGUGCUAGCUGCACAGGGCCUGAGGCCAUAUUUGGGUAAAAGAAAUAAGGAGCUUAACGUAGAACACCCUAAUUCAAAUGCCUGUGCAGACCAAGUAACUUCUGCAGGUGGAAUCUGUCCCAGAGGUCCUUCUCUGAUGACACUUUAGGCCACAGAUUGUUCUUUUAUGCUGAAAUUCUGUCCCACGCUCAUCUCCUGUUUUGCACCUUUGGGGGUUUUCUUCCGUGACUUGAGGAAUGUGAGCCCGCGGGGGUGGGAGGGAGGUGGCUAGUGGCUGAUGAAACACCUUGCUUACUCUGUCUGAUUCGUCAUCACUAGUCACUGGACAUGGUUUGGGGUUCCGUGUCUAAAGUUCAAGGGAAGAUGAUUGGGCUGCCGGUGCACUGGAGAUGGAACCUUUGGUCAUCAUUGGUGUGGAACCCUGAGCCUAUCUAUCUUCUGUCUUCUCUAUCUUCCAUUCUGGGAAGCUGAUGUUUGUGGUUGUAGGUGGUGGCUCCCAUAUCAGACAGGCCUGGGUGGAGGUCCUCAGCUAGCAGGUUCCUGUAGGGUACAGAAAUUCCUUCCCAUUAAUCGUCCUCGCUGUGUUCUCCCCCUCAUACACAUCACCCUCCACUUCAGGGGAAUGAGAACAGAGAUUCACAUCUAGCUUCAUGAAGGAUUUCCAAAGCCCCAGGAGAAUUGUUCAGACAUGGGUUCUUGAGGUAUAGAGCUAAGAGGGGUAGGGUCUGGAACAACUAAAAUAGAAGUGAGUGUGAGCUUUAGCUUAGGAUGUCUCAGCCCAGCUGGAGGUCUCGACUGGCUUGCUUGUUUGUGUCCCUUUAUAAUGAAGCACCUAAGAAAACUCUUCACUGGGGGUUGGGGAUUUAGCUUAGUGGUAGAGCGCUUGCCUAGGAAGCGCAAGGCCCUGGGUUCGGUCCCCAGCUCUGAAAAAAAAAAAAAGAAAGCUCUUCACCUGGAGAUGGCCCUUCAGGGCCAGGCUGAGCACUCUCGGUGCUCCUAGCCCUACCCAAGCUGUGCAGGGGAGGAAGGGUAACAGGAAGUAGAAGGCAAUAAGGCUGCUUGCGUGGUUUGCAAGGAGCAGGCUUCCCCUUCUGUGACUUGUGUAGUGUCAAGAUGUCCAGGGGUUUGGGAGGGUUAGGAAACAUUUGGGUGUCCACAGGGACCGUGUAAAAGGCACCCACCAUCAUAGACAAAAGAUAGCAGUUCUUGAAGUCCUACUUGACUCUUUAUUUGCUAUAUUAGAGUAAAGCAGUGGGUCUAGCAAUGGGGAUGCAGAUGCUACAGGUAGUGUCAGCCCUUCCAGAGGGACUGUCCCCGAGAAGGGGGAGAGGAGGCAAUACAUUAGACUGAAUUCAUACCUAAUUUUCAAGAAGAUUGAGACCUCAGGACAGGCGUUUGCCUACCAUAUGAUGCAGAAGUCUAGUCUCUCAUUUCUAGGCAUGAAAGAAUCCCCCAAGGGUAAUCAGGCAGAAGGCACAAGGGCCUUCACAGUGUGCUUCAGAAUGGCUGUCCUGAGCCCCGGAUCUUGGAGCUACACUGGCAGUCACUAAGUAGUCUGAGUAUAUCAAUGGCUUUUGGGUGUUAGCCAGGUGUUGUAUUAGAGGCUUUUCUCAUUACUGUGAUCAAGACUAAGACAAAACCAUGGCAGGGAGAAUUUAUUCUUAGGGUACAGUCCACCAUGGCAGGGAAGGUGUGACAAGGAUCGUGAAGCAGCUGGUCAUUGCAUCUGCAGUCAGAAGAGACCGAGGAAUUCACGUAUUUAGCUAGCUUCCUUUUUGCGUAGUCUAAAACCUAAACCUGGGAAUGCUGCCCUCUCCCUCAGGAGGGUCUUCUACUCAAUUAGCCUAAUCAUGCUAAUCCCUCACAGGCAAGCCCAGAGGCUAUGGUAAAUUACUGCUAGGUGUUCCUGGAGGUUUGUGUCAGGGCAGUUGGUUUUAGUUCACUUACUCCCUGACCCAGUCCUGCUGAGAUUCAAUGAGGCCUCUAUUUCCCAUCUGAGAAAUGAAGCAGCUCCCUGCCUUGAUUGUACACCAGCCCGUCCAGAUGGGCAGGGAGAGAUGAGUUGCACAUAUGACCAAACCAUGUCAAUGGCCAGUUUUUCUAAAUGAAGGGGUGAGAGCCCAGAUAAAAUGAAGUAGUGCAGGUAUUCCCAUUGGAGAGGGUCUUGGGCUAGGUGUUUCCAGGUUCUUGGCUCCUCAUUUAAGAGUAAAAAGCUGGAGACCUCUCUUAGAGGUCCUGAGUUCAAUUCCCAGUAACCACGUGGUGACUCACAACCAUCUAUAACGUAGAUGCCCUCUUCUGGCAUGUGUUUGUACUUGCAGAUAGAACACUCAUACAUAACAUUCAUAAAUCUUUAAGACUGAAAUGAAAGAAACCAUUCAAAUAACAGAACAAUUCAGAACACAUUACAAGAAAAUAGUGGCCUACAUGAGUGAAGAUACUCAUUAUGUCUGUGUACUACCUGCACGUAGUGCUCAUAAAGGCCAGAAGAAGACCUCCAGUCCUUUAGAACUGGAAUUACAGAAGGUUGUGAGCGACCAUGUAGAUACUGGGAGUCACAAUGAUGUCCUUUGCAAGACCAGCAAGUGCUCUUAACUUCCAAGCUAUCUCUCCAGCCAUAGGGCUUCCUUUCGUGGAGCUCCGGAGAAGGAGUUUGGUUACUAGGGUUCUUCUGUAGCAUGGUUCUUUAUCUUGACAGAUUGAGUCAUAAACUUUAACGCUAUGCAUAUUCUUUCUCAUAGUACAUCUGGUUUUGAUCAUACACACCCAAUUUUGCAUAGACAUUAGAUGGUAAAUAGAUUCUCCUUAAAAGUUCAGUUAGAGGGAACAGUUUGCUUUGUUGUGCAUGCACACUCAAACCAGUUGAGGUUAGAUCAAUCCUCUACCUCUGUUCCCACAAGUGGAGAAUAUGUUUGACAAGUUUGACGGUUCUUUAAGAGGAAGAGAAACUUAUUCCAUUAUUCAGUUUGUAGCUAGAUUUAAAAAAAAAAAAAAAAAAAAAAAACAGUCCUGGGUUGCUAACAGGUUGCUAAAUACUGAGCUCAGAGAGCUCCACGAGUGGCUGUGUGCCCGUGAGUGUGCUCAGUACAUACAGGGGAGAGUCCUAAACUAGCAAAUGCAUUAUAAAAGAGGUGUGGGCAUAGUCUAAACCAAGGAGAGUCUCAGGUUGCUAAUCUAUUCCCUAUGGUUGCCUGUCUCACUGGAUUGCGGCUGCAUUUGGAGCCCCUUUGUGUGCCGUUAAUGGGGAAUGUUUAGAUGGCUACUGGAGUGACAUGGAGGCAAUGAGAGACCAUUCCCAGAGACCACUGAGAUACCAUAGGUGAAGAACUGCCUUGGGGGAAGGUUGAGAUCACUACCAAGAGAGGCUGAUGCGCUCUGGUGAGAGGGAUGGAACUUGUGGAUGAGAGCUUUCUUGUCAGAGUAAGGGGCAGUCAAAGGAUUAUAAUAGCAGUGAGUAGCAGCUGGAAAGUCCUGUGUGCCAAACCCUUGCUCAGACUCCUAGCUGGAGUUUACCAUUUUAGCCCCUCUUAGGGUCUUGUGUGGAGCAGACGCUUUCAGCUUUGGUUAAGGUCCCAUUUAUCAAUAUUUCCUGUGAAAUCAUGUUUUUGAUAUUCAGUUUAAGAAACUUUUGCUUAAUUCUAAAUCCCAGAGACUUUCUACUACUUCUAUCUACUGGAAUGAUUAAUUUAUUUUUAAAUCCUUUGUACCAGGCUGUGGUGGCCCAUGCCUUUAAUCCUAGAACUUGGGAGGCAGAGGCAGGGGGAUCUCUGAGUUAGAGGUCCGCCUGAUCUACAGACCAAGUUCUAGGACAAAUAACAAAUAAGGGGCCCUAGAACUUGGUGAAUGCUAUACGUGGUUGUUUGCAUUCCUACAGCAGGAUGGGAAGUGGAGCAAGGAGAAUCAUCCAGGAAUGCCUGGGCCAGCUAACCUGGCAGUAGAGCGGCAGAAACAAGAGAGACCUGAACAAGUUGUAAAGCAAGAACAAACUAAAAAAGUUGCCCUUUGACCUUCACACACAUGCUAGCACUUGCACUUACACACAUGUAUACAAAAUAAAGAAAAAAAGUAAGUCAUUUGUGUCUUGAGAACAUGCUGGGCUCACUUACUAGUUCUAUGAAGUUUUUUAAAAGAUUUAUUUUUUGUAUGUGUAUGAGUCUGUGUUUGCACACAUGUGUGGUUUCCCUGGAAGCAAGAAAAGGGUGUUGGGUUCCCAACUGCUUGUUACAAGAGUUGUAAGCUGCCUGACUUGUGUGCUGGGAAUUGAACCCCAUUCCUCUAGAAGAACAGCAAGCCCUCUUAACCACUGAAUGAGUGAAAAUAAGGACAUGGCUGCUCCUGCGUACAACAGAGGAGAGUGUUUCAUUGUAGAUAUUCGGGAAAAUACAGCCAAGGGCAUCUGGAAGGUUCCAGACUGAACCAGGCCCUGAGAGGAGAGAGAGAAGAGAACAAGAGUACACCUGAGAACCAAGAGGGGACCAAAACAGCAAGAACAAAUGGCUGAGUUAUACAGGAGAAAGGAGAAGCUGGGGGAAGGGAAGGGAAGCUUAUGGCCUGCAGAGGUUUAGAGUAGGGGGCAGAGUAUGUCAGCAGCCAGAAUGACUCUAGCAGGCACUUGUGAUUGGGGGCUGAGGGAGCCUAGAGGUUAGGCUAGAUAAGAGGUAAGACAUUGAUAGAGGUAAGACCUUGAUAUGCUAAGAGGCACCACAGGCCUAGGUUAAUGGAGGAGUCAGGGUUCUCUUUUUUCCCCCAGAUAAGGGAAAUGACUCCUUUUAGCAAGUAAUAAUCUUAAAUCCCUGGGGGAAUGUUGCCUUUUGUCUAAAUGUUGGUCUUUGGGAAGGAAUUUCUAAAGACCUAACACUGAGCCAUCUCCCCAGCCCUUCCUUUUAUUAGGGUUUUUGUUGCUGUUUUUUGGUAGUGGUUAUUUUGUUUGUUUGUUUGUUUUUGAGACAGGAUUCCUCUGUGUAGCCCUGGUUGUCCUGGAACUAUAUGGACCAGGCAGUCUUGAACUGAGAGAUCUGCCUGCCUCUGCCUCCUGAGUGCUAGAACUAAAGGUAUGAGUCAUCACACUCAGCUUGUGUAUUUCUAUUUCAUCUCCCUAUACAUAAAUGUGUGUUUGAUUUAAUGCUGGGAAGUGGGUCAGGGUCUUGCACACUAAGCAAGCACACUAUAUCACUGAGUUAUACUGCCAACUAGAGAUAUUUUAAGGAAUUGGCCUUAUUAUGGAGACUUGGUGAGCCCAAAAUUCAGUGAGGGAGGCAAAGAGGCUGGAGGCUAAGGAAGGAGUUGAGUAAAGUUCUAGUCCAAAGGCCAUCUGCUACACAGCCAGAAGGAGCUGGUGUUGCAGAAUGAGUUGUGCAACCUUCUUGCUCUACAGGUUGUGUUCAGGCCUACAGUGAAUUGGCAGAGGCCUCCCCACAUUAUGAGAACGACCUUUCCCCUCUCAUUUAAGUGUAACUCUCAUUCAGAAACAUGCUGAAUGUUGUGUGGUAACCCAAAUGUCUUACUUACUAUUCUAUUGCUGUGAGGAGACACUAUGACCGAAGCAACUCAUAGGAAAGACAGCGUUCAAUUGAGGGCUUGCUUACAGAAUCAGAAGGUUAGUCCAUCAUCAUCAUGGUAGGGUGCAUGGUGGCAGGCAGGCAGGCAUGGUGCUAGAAAGCUUUAAUCCUGGUCAGUAAGCAGCAGGCAGAGAUGGGGGAGUACUAUGGGAGGGGGUGAUGCCAGGUGGGGGUGGGGGUGGGGGUAAGUUUGGGAACUGAGAAAGCAGUGCCAGAGUGAGGGUGGGUGUACUCAAGAUGCAUACAAAACACAGACUGGGUGGGCCCAGUCUGGCUUUUGAAACCUUAGACCCCAUUCCCAGUGAUACACUUCCUCCAAGCCUUCUAAUCCUUUCCAAACACUCCAUCAACUGAGGACUGAGCAUGCAAAUACAUGAACCCAUGGGAAACAUUCAAACCACCACACCCAGGGAUGUUGCUACCCUACUAGCCAGCAUAAUUUCCUUCUGAUUCACAACAUCUGGGUACUCCAGAAUUUAACUUCCUAUGUCUCCCCUGUAUCUGUACUAUUCUUGGUAUCCUUUUCUUGACUGAACUUUAUCAAUUUUACUGAUCACUUUUAAAAACCAACUUUUUGUUUCAUUGAUUUUUCUCAUUUUCAAUUCCUUUGAUUUCUACUUAUAUUAUUUCCUUCCAUUUGUUUUGGGUUUAUUUUCCUCAUCUUGGUCCAGGUUUUCAAGAUGGAAGCUGGAAUCCUGCAUGAUUGCUUUGAGGUUGUCAACUUGACUAUUUCUGGAAUGAACUACAAUCCAGACUUGGAAGGUCCACCUGUCGUCCAGAACUUGAGGCUGGGAGUUUCUGACCUGGAUCUUGGCAUGGAGAACUUAAGGCAUAGUGGCUAUGAAUCCCAGGAGACUGAGGCAAGGAGAGCUCUGAGUUAAGGUCAACCUGGGACAAAACAGGUCCCAGAUCCAGCAUGGUGGUACACAUCUUUAAUCUGGGCCACACCUCCUGUUGGAGGGCUACAUAAGGGCACUAGAAGAAGAUUUGCAUUUCUUUACCUGCUUGAGCUUACUUGCCAGCACAUCUGUUGGAAUCUACCAGCCUCGUGGGACUGAGCAACUCUUAGAUCCUUGGACUUCCAUUCACAGGUGACUGUUGUUGGGAGUUGAACUACAGACUGUAAGUCAUCAUAACAAAUCCCCUGACUGUACAGUAUAUCGUAGACUACCCAUAAGUCCUGUGACUCUAGAGAACCCUGACUAAUACAGCCUGCCUACACCAUGCUCGGAGUAAACUUUCUGCAGACA